AAAAAAAAAAAUAAAAUAAUAAUAAGUCACAGGUCGGGAGGCCCAAGCUAGACUGCGCCCACCCCUAAACCAGGACCACCUCGAGGAGCGUAUCAGAGGGAAGAGUCGGAGACAGAGAAUAAAUUUAACAAGUUUUAUUUUGAAGUAAAAGCAAAUUGGAAAUCCUAAUCUAAAAUCUUUGAUGCCCUCAGGAAUCGAAGGUGAACAGUGCAGCGACCGGGGACUCUCCCGCCCUCUUCCUCUGUGCGGGCCCCGUAAUAGAUGGACAGAUGGGUGGUCAAGUAGGUAUUUCACAGGUGGGGAUACGAUCGGCAAGCCAACAGUCUGGUAAGUCUCCUCUGAUAAUUAAAUACUUCCAACCUUCCUUCCCUUUUUCACAGAUGCAGAAUUUGGGACGGAUGGAUAUCGGUCAGGUCCGUACACGGCAGAUACACAGCCUUGAGGUGGGGAUGUGUUUGGCAAGUGAGGGGUCCGGUAAGUCUCCUCCGGUAAGUAUGUAAUUCCAGCCUUCCUUCUUCCACAGGUACGGAAUUUGAGGUGAAUGAUAUCAGUCGAGUACGUAUACGGCAGGUGCACGGUCUUACAGUAAGGUGGUUUCUCCUGACACCGUCAGAGUGGAUAUUCCAGACAAAGCGUGCCAGCCUCACGUUCGUGACAAAGGACAGUCAUCUCUCUCAGCACAGGUGGGCCACAAGGAUGCAACAAACUCUAGGUCAACAGGCUGUGCAGGGUUUCUACUGAGACAGACAGAAUGAAUGCUCCAGACAAAGUAUACAGUUCACAUGCGUUGGAAGGAACAAACACUUCUCACCAUACAGUUGAAUGGCAGGGAUACAGCAGACUCGAAGUAAACAGAUUGCACAGGGCUUUUCUGAGGCAGAUAGUAAAUAUUUCAACAGGGCAUCUCUUCUCCUAUUAGCACAACAGAGGGGUUAAUUCACAUCCCAGAUGAUAAUUCCUCAACAUCCAGACAGUUGGAACAGAUCAGUGUCACCAAACUCUUACUAUUGACAGUCAGCCCGCAUAACACAUGGAGAGUGCAUGGCAAAAAGGAAUGUAGCUUACACACACACGACAAUUCCACUUCAAGCAUAUAAUGUGGGGGAAAACAUCAAUUUUAGGCACUGCAAACUCACUUCACGAAGUGCAAUUUAAAGCCAGCACUCACAUUCGGGUUUCGGUCCGAGGGGAAGGCGCGAUCCUCACUGCCACUGAGGAUGUUCUGAGAUGUUGCUCUUCACAGUCACAGGCAGAGUUCACAUCACCAUUUAUAAAGGAGGGAGAGGUAAGAGAUCGGUAAUGAAUCAGUACAAUCCACUCAGUGAUAUUUAUGAUCGUGAUCCAAACACUCCAAACCACAUCCAAUUCAGUGUCAAACGUGUGCAAUUACAAGACUCAGUUCUCAGUUACUUAGCUCCUCUCCAAUGCAAACAGGGUAUUUCACUCUCCUUCUGUUGUCCUCGAAUCCCUCAUCAAAGCAACACUUUCCUCUUCAUUCACCCGUCCUCCAGUAACUAUUACCACCCAAUAAAACGACUUUUCACAAGGGAGAAAAACCACACCGACCACCUCUCUCUCUUGCUUUUUAUCCUCUCCACUGUUGAUGAGGCCUCACGCAAACUCUCUGAGUAAAUCCCCCACACCUGUUGCCAAUCCGUCAUUUGGGGUUGUCACAGCAACAAACGCACACACAGGCCUGGGAACAGGGUUACACUCAAAGCGUUCCACCGGGAACACUGCUUCAGCGGGAAUAAGUUCCACAUGCCAUUUGUCACACCGUGACGUAUAUAUAUAUAUAAACGGGGGGAAAUGAAAUUCUCCAUUAAAAGACCUUCAAAAUGAUUUAUGAUUUGUUGGAAUCGGACAAAAAAUUACUGAGUCACACCCAUUUGAAUUCGAUGGUGAAGUCCUCCGUCUUUUCUUAUUAUUAAUUGGUAUAUUAAUAAUCACAAU
ensembl:lncRNA